rnacentral:rRNA from 1 species
GACAUAGGUGGCGAACGUUAUCCGGAAUUACUGGGCGUAAAGGGCGCGUAGGCGGCUUGGUAAGUCGGGGGUGAAAGUCAGCGGCUCAACCGCUGGACUGCCUUCGAGACUGCCUGGCUUGAGCAUGGUAGAGGCUGGCGGAAUUCCCGGUGUAGCGGUGGAAUGCGUAGAGAUCGGGAAGAACAUCGGUGGCGAAGGCGGCCAGCUGGGCCAUUGCUGACGCUGAUGCGCGACAGCGUGGGGAGCAAACAGG